rnacentral:rRNA from 1 species
AGUGAACGCUGGCGGUAGGCCUAACACAUGCAAGUCGAACGGCAGCACAGUAAGAUCUUGCUCUUACGGGUGGCGAGUGGCGGACGGGUGAGGAAUACAUCGGAAUCUACUUUUUCGUGGGGGAUAACGUAGGGAAACUUACGCUAAUACCGCAUACGACCUACGGGUUAAAGCAGGGGAUCUUCGCACCUUGCGCGAUUGAAUGAGCCGAUGUCGGAUUAGCUAGUUGGCGGGGUAAAGGCCCACCAAGGCGACGAUCCGUAGCUGGUCUGAGAGGAUGAUCAGCCACACUGGAACUGAGACACGGUCCAGACUCCUACGGGAGGCAGCAGUGGGGAAUAUUGGACAAUGGGCGCAAGCCUGAUCCAGCCAUACCGCGUGGGUGAAGAAGGCCUUCGGGUUGUAAAGCCCUUUUGUUGGGAAAGAAAAGCAGCAGGUUAAUACCCCGCUGUUCUGACGGUACCCAAAGAAUAAGCACCGGCUAACUUCGUG